CUUCCUUCGUGCCCUAAUAACACGUGUCCUUUUUUCUCGGGCAUUGUCCUUUAUUAUAUAAAUUAUAAUUUAUAUAUCUAUAACUGUCAAUCACCACAUAUAUGUUGUCUUUGUGAUUAUUAACUACAGGAAUUACAUAAAGGCUAUAAUUUACACAACUGUAUCUUAUCUCUGUGAUUGCAGCCACAGGGCCAAUCGUCAUUAAACAGUGGCCAGAAAAUGCAGGAAAAAGCGUUUUUUAAGCUUAGAAGAUCAAAAAUCGUCUGAGGUAGGGGAACAUGCCCCCAGGCCCCCCUUUCAGGUUUCUCGCGUUUUGCCGAUAAAUCUAACUUCAGAAAAUUCU